CGCGGCCUAUCAGCUUGUUGGUGGGGUGAUGGCCUACCAAGGCGACGACGGGUAGCCGGCCUGAGAGGGUGUCCGGUCACACUGGGACUGAGAUACGGCCCAGACUCCUACGGGAGGCAGCAGUGGGGAAUAUUGCACAAUGGGCGCAAGCCUGAUGCAGCGACGCCGCGUGGGGGAUGACGGCCUUCGGGUUGUAAACCUCUUUCAGCCAUGACGAAGCUUUCGGGUGACGGUAGUGGCAGAAGAAGCACCGGCCAACUACGUGCCAGCAGCCGCGGUAAUACGUAGGGUGCGAGCGUUGUCCGGAAUUACUGGGCGUAAAGAGCUCGUAGGUGGUUUGUCGCGUUGUUCGUGAAAACUCACAGCUUAACUGUGGGCGUGCGGGCGAUACGGGCAGACUGGAGUACUGCAGGGGAGAUUGGAAUUCCUGGUGUAGCGGUGGAAUGCGCAGAUAUCAGGAGGAACACCGGUGGCGAAGGCGGGUCUCUGGGCAGUAACUGACGCUGAGGAGCGAAAGCGUGGGGAGCGAACAGGAUUAGAUACCCUGGUAGUCCACGCCGUAAACGGUGGGUACUAGGUGUGGGUUCCGUCCUUGGGAUCCGUGCCGUAGCUAACGCAUUAAGUACCCCGCCUGGGGAGUACGG
rnacentral:rRNA from 1 species